rnacentral:rRNA from 1 species
UACGGAAGGCAGCAGUAGGGAAUCUUCCGCAAUGGACGAAAGUCUGACGGAGCAACGCCGCGUGAACGAUGAAGGCUUUCGGGUCGUAAAGUUCUGUUGUUAGGGAAGAACAAGUACCAGAGUAACUGCUGGUACCUUGACGGUACCUAACCAGAAAGCCACGGCUAACUACGUGCCAGCAGCCGCGGUAAUACGUAGGUGGCAAGCGUUGUCCGGAAUUAUUGGGCGUAAAGCGCGCGCAGGUGGUUCCUUAAGUCUGAUGUGAAAGCCCACGGCUCAACCGUGGAGGGUCAUUGGAAACUGGGGAACUUGAGUGCAGAAGAGGAAAGUGGAAUUCCACGUGUAGCGGUGAAAUGCGUAGAGAUGUGGAGGAACACCAGUGGCGAAGGCGACUUUUCUGGUCUGUAACUGACACUGAGGCGCGAAAGCGUGGGGAGCGAACAGGGAUUAGAUACC